UACGUAGGGUGCGAGCGUUAAUCGGAAUUACUGGGCGUAAAGAGUGCGUAGGCGGUUUCUCAAGUCCGCUGUGAAAUCCCCGGGCUCAACCUGGGAACUGCAUCUGUGACUGUAUAGCUAGAGUACGGUAGAGGGGGAUGGAAUUCCGCGUGUAGCAGUGAAAUGCGUAGAUAUGCGGAGGAACACCGAUGGCGAAGGCAAUCCCCUGGACCUGUACUGACGCUCAUGCACGAAAGCGUGGGGAGCAAACAGG
rnacentral:rRNA from 1 species